AUUGUCCCAGAAUGCACUGCGCUAUAGUUGCGCAUUCACACGUCCCCAAAAGAACCAGACUUUGUAGACAAACAAACUAGAGUUUGAUUGAAGCGGACAACUUAGAAUGGCCCACGAGUUUGCCACGUUUGUCAAACGUUGAGUAUCUAGUUGAGGAUCUGUGAUGUGACGUGGCAGCAAAGCAGCAGCGGCGGCGGCACAGUGGUUCCAGCAUCUGUUUGCUUCCACACACCUGACUGAAAUGGCUUCUGAAGCACUGGAUGGCUUGAAUCAGGUGUGCUGGAACAGAGGCUCAUCUAAACCACGCAGAGCAGAGCUACCUGAGGACCAGAGUUGAUGUAAAAGACUGAAAUGUCCCUCUGUUUACUUCAACAACACCAAAACCUCCCAUAACAACUCGGCUGCCCGGAGAGUGUCGAGAUGCAACCAGCUCCAUAGAACCAGGGAAGACGGUCUAAUGGACUCCCAGCACCACGGCUAAAAUGAAGACUUCUCUGAGGUUUCGACUGAACCGUCUCUGAUGCUCAAAGAAUAAGCUUUGUUCCUUCAAAUCAUUUAUUCUCGUAAAAAAUAUUCAGUGGGGAAAACAAAGUGAGGAUAAGAAUAACGAAUAACUCCUGUCUUGCUAUGGAAACCUGGUUGUGUUACUUUUACAGUAUGGCUCCUGAACUUAGUCGCUUUUAUUGGAUGGGGCAGGAUAAGCUAAUGUAUCACGGCGAGUCUCGGAGAUUAAGUCGAGUUACGACAUUUCAGCUGAAAAUGCUGACUGCUGGCCGUCACCAAGGUGCCAGAAAUGGACCUAAAUCAUCCAGAAGCUAAAUAACAGAUAGAAAAUACUGUUACUAUUGUGCCAUGUGGACAAAAACAAAAACCUGUUAGGGAAGUGAAGAAAGCCGGUAAGAGGAAAAGAGAAGGACAGAUACAGGGGCAGAAAAAUGAGGGGAGUCAGUGGGUGUUACACCCAGGAGGUGUGAAAGAAAUGCAGGAAACAUCUAGAAGGAAACAAAGGAUAGAAGAUGGACCAGGAGAAAAAAAAAUGGAGAAGCAGGAAGAAAGUGAGCAAGCGAGAGCGAGUUUAAGGAGAAUCGAUGCGAGCGCCUCUCCGCUGGGACGGAGCUAACAGCAGAGCAGACCCUGGAUCUCAGGUGUCCAGUCGAUGGCUGAUGCAUUAGACUGCUGAUACGCGCCGCUUUGGGUUCAAACACACAUUUUCUUAAUACAACAUGAACCCAUUUCCCCCCCUCAUUAAUCAUGUAAUCUGAUUAGGGUUGGAGGUCUGGGCUGCACUGCUCCGCUCACCGCCUUUCAUUUAUUCCUCCGUCGCCGAGCAGACCAACGUGUGCAUUAGCACAGGAAUAUUAGCUGAAAUUAAUGUAGCCCUGGACGGCUGAGGCACGCAUAUGGUAAAGCUGGAGCUUAGACGAGCCUUCAUAUUUACGUCACGUCUGGGCUUCAGCAUUUCAGUACAGGAUCAGUGGGAUCGGAGAGAAGUUUAACUGCGCUGACAGGCAUGUGAAAAAAAUGUCAGUUUUAUUUAGGGUCCAUGAAAUGCAACAUCAGUUCAGACAGAAGCUGAACUGACUAAAUAACAUUAAAUUAUUCCAAUCGUGUAACUCCGAUUUGCAUAUUUGUCAAUUCAUCACGAGUUUAAAUGUGGUUUUAUCUUUCUAAAUUAGUUGAAAAUAUUUACAACUUUUUUUUUUUUAUAAAUAUUGAGUGAAUUUAAACGUUACCUCCUUGAUUUGCCCAACAAGAAGAAGGAGGAAAAGUUCUGAGUCACACAGUGUGUCAGAAAUCAAGCCCCCUCAUCCUCCAUGCAGUGGCUUAGUUUGCUUAUUUAUUGGACCGGCUCUGUUAAUGCUCAAUUAAGCAUGUUAUUGAUCAGAAGCCUUUUUGUUGAAGAGAAGAAAAAAAAGUCAGAUUUUAGAAGCCUCCAAGCAUUUUCAGUGCUUAUUUCCUCAAACUGUU